GACGAACGCUGGCGGCGUGCUUAACACAUGCAAGUCGAACGAUGAAGCCUAGCUUGCUAGGUGGAUUAGUGGCGAACGGGUGAGUAAUACGUGAGUAACCUACCUUUAACUCUGGGAUAAGCCUGGGAAACUGGGUCUAAUACCGGAUACGACCAAUCUCCGCAUGGGGUGUUGGUGGAAAGCGUUAUGUAGUGGUUAUAGAUGGGCUCACGGCCUAUCAGCUUGUUGGUGAGGUAACGGCUCACCAAGGCGACGACGGGUAGCCGGCCUGAGAGGGUGACCGGCCACACUGGGACUGAGACACGGCCCAGACUCCUACGGGAGGCAGCAGUGGGGAAUAUUGCACAAUGGGCGCAAGCCUGAUGCAGCGACGCCGCGUGAGGGAUGACGGCCUUCGGGUUGUAAACCUCUGUUAGCAGGGAAGAAGAGAAAUUGACGGUACCUGCAGAGAAAGCGCCGGCUAACUACGUGCCAGCAGCCGCGGUAAUACGUAGGGCGCGAGCGUUGUCCGGAAUUAUUGGGCGUAAAGAGCUUGUAGGCGGUUUGUCGCGUCUGCUGUGAAGGCCGGGGCUUAACCCCGUGUAUUGCAGUGGGUACGGGCAGACUAGAGUGCAGUAGGGGAGACUGGAACUCCUGGUGUAGCGGUGGAAUGCGCAGAUAUCAGGAAGAACACCGAUGGCGAAGGCAGGUCUCUGGGCUGUAACUGACGCUGAGAAGCGAAAGCAUGGGGAGCGAACAGGAUUAGAUACCCUGGUAGUCCAUGCCGUAAACGUUGGGCACUAGGUGUGGGGGACAUUCCACGUUUUCCGCGCCGUAGCUAACGCAUUAAGUGCCCCGCCUGGGGAGUACGGCCGCAAGGCUAAAACUCAAAGAAAUUGACGGGGGCCCGCACAAGCGGCGGAGCAUGCGGAUUAAUUCGAUGCAACGCGAAGAACCUUACCAAGGCUUGACAUAUACUGGACCGCAUCAGAGAUGGUGUUUCCCUUCGGGGCUGGUAUACAGGUGGUGCAUGGUUGUCGUCAGCUCGUGUCGUGAGAUGUUGGGUUAAGUCCCGCAACGAGCGCAACCCUCGUUCUAUGUUGCCAGCACGUUAUGGUGGGGACUCAUAGGAGACUGCCGGGGUCAACUCGGAGGAAGGUGGGGAUGACGUCAAAUCAUCAUGCCCCUUAUGUCUUGGGCUUCACGCAUGCUACAAUGGCCGGUACAGAGGGUUGCGAUACUGUGAGGUGGAGCUAAUCCCUAAAAGCCGGUCUCAGUUCGGAUUGGGGUCUGCAACUCGACCCCAUGAAGUCGGAGUCGCUAGUAAUCGCAGAUCAGCAACGCUGCGGUGAAUACGUUCCCGGGCCU
rnacentral:rRNA from 1 species